UUUCUACCCAACUCAUCCAAAGUGCAAUAUUGUUGUGUGAUUUUACUUUAUUCACGUGCUUUAGAUAGAUGACAACACAAAUUAUUAUCAAGAUAGAUAACCAGAAGUUAAAUUUUAUAUGUUUUUUUCGUCUAAUCUAAUAAGUGUAACGCCUAUUGACAAGUGUAACUCCAUCUGUCAACUCUGUAACACGGAUGUUAUUAUACCAACAUUUCCAAGAAUAACAUAUUGCAGGAACCAGCUGACAGCCCGGUUAGCUUUCCUAGCAUUAGGGUUAUAUAUCAAGUUCCAGAAGCAUACCUAUAUCAGUCUGCUAGGGAGCAGUACUUUCCCUUUGGCAACAUACUUGCUACUAGGAACAGGAGCCUUUAUUAUCUUGUCAGGAAUCAUUUGUUGUACUGGGACUUGUAUAGAAAAUAGAUGCUUUAUGGUUAUGAUUGAAGACACAUUUGCACAAAAUGAUGAAACUGGCGAACAGGAAUCGCUGUCAGCUAUAGAUAUGUUCCGAAAGAAUGCAUAGAAAGCUUUAUUAGCCUGGACAGCCAAUGCUAUUACAAAAAAAUAUGGUAUAGAAGUUAAUAAUUUCAGUAAAAGUUGGUGAGAUGGUCUUGCAUUCAAUGCCAUGGUACAUACAAUCAACCCUGACUUAGUGGAUUUCGAUCAGUGCAGGAAACAGGAUGCUAGAACUAAUCUAGAGCAGACAUUCUCAGAUGCAGAGUCACAACUUUGUAUCGCAAGACAACUUGACCCUGAAGAUUAGUAUUAUAAGGCAGUAAGGGUAAAGGUACUUAGGCGUGCACUAAAAUGUGGACACAUAGACGUUGAUGUUGAGAAGCCUGACGAGAAAUCAGUCAUGACUUACGUUGCACACUUCUUAAAGGCCUACCUAGAGGCUGGUGAGGACCUAGUCUAUCCAAAAGGAAAAACCCAGCAAAACAAGAGAUAUCUGAUUACAAUGAUCUGCUCACCUGGAUUAAAGAGGAAACUGAUGAGGUUCUACAGAUUGUAGACCAACCAGUGACAGACAGUCAGGCUGAAUAUAUGGAUUACUUAUCAUUUAAAACAGAAUUUGACAGACGACAAAAAAUAUUCCAGAGGUUAGAAGAGAAAGUAGUGAGCAAAAAAGCCGUUAAAAUUACUCCCAAAAUGUGGCAGGAAUAAGAACCCAAAUGGCAAGACAUUGCUAGACGUACUUGUAUGUGGUUAUGGAAACUUGAUGCUAAUCUACUAGGUCAUCCCAGAAAGUUUGGUGAUUGGUUAAAUCAAGCAGAGGAAAUGUUAGAGAUUGAACCUGAAAACCAGUAAGACCAUAUAGAAAUAGCAGAUCAACUUCUUAAACUAUUAAAUGAACACAAGGACUUUCUCAAAGAAAUGGACUCGUACAAAAAGUUUUUUUUACAAGUGAAACGUGCAGGAAAAUAUGAAGGCGAAUUCAUCCCACCACCACAAAUGGACAAUUUACACACUAGGCUACAAGUCGUGUGUAAAGAAGCACCAAAGCGUGAGAAUCUACUACAGUAUGACGAAUUCUGAUUUAGACUUGCUGGAUUCAGUGCCGCUACGGAGGAAAAAGUGAAGAUGUGGUUGUCAAAGUUAGGCACACAAGAAGACGUAGAUGAGAGGGUUCUGGAUUACAAGGACUUUGUACAGACCAAUAAUUUAUUUGCAAACUAUGACAAGAUGCUCAGAGAGACGAAAAAGAGAGGUGAUGCUUUCAGAAAACAUGUCUCAAAAGAAGAAGCUGCACAGAUUACACAAUUUGCUGAUGAAAAAACACAAAAAUGGAAAACAAUGUCCGCUGAAAUUAAAUCUUUACAAUCAAUGUUUGAUGAGGGAUUAGAGCAGUGGAAAAGAUAUAGUGGAUGUUACAAUAUGGUAAUUGCAUGGAUCACAGAAGGAGAACAAGUCAUGCAUGGUGGAACAAAGAACAAAUUGAGGAAUAUUUUACCGAUAUUCCACAGUACGAAGAAAGACUUUCUUUUAAAAAAAAUUUUAAACGAAUCUGUAAACUUUUUGAUAGAAAAUUGUCAAGAACCUAUAUUGCAGAAGAAAUUUAACAAAACGUUAAUAUGAUUAACAGUAGAUUUACAGAAUUAGUAGAAGGAUAUCAACAUUAUAAGAAAGUAGAAGUUAUAGGAAAGUGUAGACAAGAAUACCAGCUUGGAGUAGACAGAAUAUCAGAGUGGUUACAAAAUGCUGAGGAAUUUUUGGCUACUGAAGUGCAUUUGUCAAAAAGGCAGUUCAGACUGUGGAUGAUCUGAUGAAAGCCUUACAACAAGAGGAUCUCACGAGUGAGGAAUACAACGACUUACAAAAUAAA